CAGUAGCCGCGGUAAUACGUAGGUGGCAAGCGUUGUCCGGAAUUAUUGGGCGUAAAGCGCGCGCAGGUGGUUUAAUAAGUCUGAUGUGAAAGCCCACGGCUCAACCGUGGAGGGUCAUUGGAGACUGUUAAACUUGAGUGCAGGAGAGAAAAGUGGAAUUCCUAGUGUAGCGGUGAAAUGCGUAGAGAUUAGGAGGAACACCAGUGGCGAAGGCGGCUUUUUGGCCUGUAACUGACACUGAGGCGCGAAAGCGUGGGGAGCAAACAGGAUUAGAUACCCCCGUAGUCCCUGUCUCUUAUAC
rnacentral:rRNA from 1 species